GGAGCUCUGGUAAGGUGAGGAGGAUGUGUCAAUCUUCUGUGGUGGUUUUACACCUGCAAAGCCCCCAGAUUCAGUUGCUCUCCAGGCUGUCCCAGUGAACAAUAUCAGCUCUCACAUCAGAGGAUUUAAAUACUUGUACAAGGCAAUGUGAACAGCAGAAGGGAAGUGAGAUGACUUUACUAUUGCUGGGAAAAAGCAGGGUCCCUCUGAAGAUAAUGGGUCCCUUUGUUUGCAAGACAGAGGGAGAGCAAGACCCCAAGGAGAAAACAAAGAUCAGCCUGUUUCUUUAAUGCAUUUUCUUGACGCAUUUCCAAGUUGCACGAGAAAGAAAGGAAGCAUGAGAAGAAUGAGGAAGCAUGAGAAAAAUGUUGUUUAAAUGCAUCUAGGCAUUUUUGUUUGUCAAAACUCUGUUCACUCUGUAAAUUUGACAACGAUUUCAAUAAAGUUUUUAUAAAACUG